CGCUAACUCGAUCUAGCGAGUUUUAGACCGGAAAUGAAGUUGAAAAUGAAAACGUUUGACUUUAUCAAGUAUUUCUAUCAAGUAUUAUUGGCCUAACUCCACGUCUUAGUCAUAUUUGUAUACGUGUGAAUUGCUGAAUCAUGAGUCAAGAAUUCCCACCCACACCACAACAGAUCGAUGACAUCCCUGUCAAACAGGACAACCCACUCAUUCAAAUAACAGCGUCAAAAGCUGAAAUUGAUCGAAGAAUCUCAGCCUUUAUAGAACGAAAACAAACUGAGAUAGACAGUAAUAACAGGCGGGAAUUUUGCCAUCCAGUAUCCUCAAAUGAAGACCCAUCUACGGUAAAUAGCUGCGCUCGUACUGAUGCCAUGUUAGUGCCCCGGGGUGGUGGAAGUAGUCAUAUCAAAGUUUCACAAGUGAUGAACCCAUAUGGCCCACAGGGUCAGAGAAAAUCUGACAACGAAACAGAGGGGAAUUCUAAAGCCAUGUGUGCAGAUGGUAUAGAGGAACGACUCAGAAAUAUGGAAGUCCACUUAAACAUUGAUGAUGAAAUGAUAAGUGCUAACCCAAAAAGACAGAAUGUGUAUGAACGUCUUCGACAUUUGGAGAAUCGGAUUCUUUAUCUCGAAGGAGUAUCUCCAGAGUAUUUCCAUAGUAACAGUGGGCCGCCAUCAAAAAGAAUGAAGCACAAUCAUCCGACACGUCUCAAACUUGACCAUCAGAAUCUAUCAAUCGGGGACAUUGACAAACGUAUCGCUCAGCUUCAAGCGACACUAAGUAAAAAAACUAUGAUGCCUUAUUGAUAGUUCAAAAUAUUUGUGACAUCACUGUCACAGAAGAACAGGCUUGAUAUAGAAAACUAAUAGAUGAGCAUAUCAUGGUCUCAUAGUUUGUGUGUUUGUUCUUCAUUUUCAGCCUGUUUAAUUUUUGUAAUUUGACAAAUUAAAUCUUUGCCAAAAUGUCCAGGUAGUACAUUUCUCUGUUCAAUUAUAGAAUUGCAUUUUAACAAGAUCACGGGUAUUAACCAGACCUCAUGAUACUGUGAGCGUCAUGUCUGAAGCAAGGAUAUGAAUUAGGGAGCUCGGUGAAAUGUUCAGCUCAAUGUGGAUCCUCAAUUGCUCAUGCGUUGUUGUGGUCUGGCUAGUACCCGUGAUUAUGGUAUGAAGAAACAAGA
rnacentral:misc_RNA from 1 species